rnacentral:rRNA from 1 species
UACGAGGGGUGCAAGCGUUGCUCGGAAUUAUUGGGCGUAAAGGGUAGGUAGGUGGUCUCAUUUGUCCGGGGUGAAAGCCUUGGGCUUAACCCAAGAAGGGCCCCGGAAACGGUGAGACUAGAGUCCUGGAGAGGGUCGUGGAAUUCCCGGUGUAGCGGUGAAAUGCGUAGAGAUCGGGAGGAACACCAGAGGCGAAGGCGGCGACCUGGACAGGCACUGACACUCAACUACGAAAGCGUGGGGAGCAAACAGG